AGAACCCAAAACUAAGAAUUUGUCAAGAAUGUAUAACUUGCUGUUGAAAUGGAAUACUCAGGAUGAAAUGGUGAAAUCUGCUAUGAUUAAAUGGGCACAAGAUGUUGGACAUAAUAUUAUGUUUGCUGACUGGGAACAGUUAUGGACCACAGGUAUGAAGUUUACGGCAUGUAAUGCCCUAAGAGAGAAUAUUAUGAAAAUGAUAUACAGGUGGUACAUGACCCCAGUCAAGCUUGCAAAAAUCUAUCAUUUGCCCAAUAAUAAAUGCUGGAAAUGUAAAGAAACUGAAGGUACAUUCUUUCACCUUUGGUGGACGUGCCCAAGGAUUAAGGCUUUCUGGGAAAUGAUAUAUAAUGAACUGAAAAAGGUAUUUAAAUAUACCUUCUUGAAGAAACCAGAGGCCUUUCUUCUGGG